rnacentral:rRNA from 1 species
GCUGUUAAGGGUUCGUAGUUGAACUGUGGGUUGACAAGGGAGUUGUCGGCUAAGUCCCUUUCUCCGGUCGGCGACCGCCACACUUGCGACCCGUGAACAGUUGAAACAGAAAUCGCGGGUUGUUAUUCCCUUUCCCAAUUACGCAUGGAACGCAUGCAAGCGGAGGGACGCCCGUGAUUUACUGUGACCAAAGAAGCGUGACCAAAGCAGUCAAAUCGACUUGAAUUAGCAAGCGUGGGUAACAAAGGAGCAACCUUGAGGCUACCGAUUCGGCUUUUGUUGGUUUUAAAGGCCUCUGGGGAUUAUGGGCUCGCACGACAAGCCCCUUGAAGCGACUCCUUCGGAGCUUCGACUUCAGGUUUGGCCUUCCCCUCCUUUCAGCCUCCUCUGGAGGUCGGGUGUGGGACUUGUGUGGUCCGGAAUGAAGGAGGGUUGUUCGGGGGAGAACGUACCUGGGCGUGAGAGGUGAAAUUCUUGACCGCUCAAAGACGAACUACAGCGAAGGCAUUCACCAAGGAUACCUUCCUCAAUCAGAACUAAAGUG